CCUUAAGCUUAGUUGCCAUCAUUAAGUUGGGCACUCUAAGUUGACUGCCGGUGACAAACCGGAGGAAGGUGGGGAUGACGUCAAAUCAUCAUGCCCCUUAUGAUUUGGGCUACACACGUGCUACAAUGGACAAUACAAAGGGUAGCGAAACCGCGAGGUCAAGCAAAUCCCAUAAAGUUGUUCUCAGUUCGGAUUGUAGUCUGCAACUCGACUAUAUGAAGCUGGAAUCGCUAGUAAUCGUAGAUCAGCAUGCUACGGUGAAUACGUUCCCGGGUCUUGUACACACCGCCCGUCACACCACGAGAGUUUGUAACACCCGAAGCCGGUGGAGUAACCAUUUGGAGCUAGCCGUCGAAGGUGGGACAAAUGAUUGGGGUGAAGUCGUAACAAGGUAGCCGUAUCGGAAGGUGCGGCUGGAUCACCUCCUUUCUAAGGA
rnacentral:rRNA from 1 species